GUGAUCAUCACCCUUGAAGCUCAUCCAGCAUAAUAAUGUCUGGGUGUGUCCUGUCAGCUGACUUCCUGUUAAACGGCACGACACUUCCAGAUGCGUCUGUUUGGUUUCUUUACUGAGGUGACAUGUUGCCUAAGGGCCAGGGCCACACCUGACACCUCCCACGCCCUAUUCAGAGCUGAACGCAUUGCUGGUACUCAGUGACCGUAAUCAUUGUCUCUAAGGCAGUGUGAUGACCAUUCUUGGUUGUCAACUUGGUGACAUCUGGAAUUGAAGCAGCAGGAGACACAGAUACAGCAGCCAAGCGCAAGCCAAAGCGGGGAGGAGGGAACCGGGACCAGGGCCAGCAGAAGGAGAGAAGAAGAGCGUGUCCACGUGUCCGUGUCCGAGGUCCUCUUAAGAAGCCUUUUCUACGCCACCUUAGACUUCCCCUCACCCCGCCCUCACGGGCAUGUUCCGGCACACCUGUCCGGGUUACCAGGGGCGGGGCUAGAGUGUCUCCCUACAUGUAUGAGUUGUGAUGCGUGGAUGAGCACACCUACCACACCACCAGCAGUCACGUCAAAGGUUAGUACAAACCUCUAUGUGCAAAACCUGGGACUUGGUGAUGCCGAUGAACAUGUGUGCUGAUGGAUGAUGCAUGAACUGAACAUUUUGUCAUUGGAGAGUUCGUCCAGCUCAUAAAAUGCAAGGGUUUACUGUAAACAGUUAUGCUGAAUAGUUUUAUGUCAUCUGGGCACAAACUAAAGUCAUUUGAGGAAUGACUCAAUUGAGAACAAUGCCUCUCUAAGAUUGGGCUGUGGCAAGCCUAUAGGUCAUUUUCGGAAUUGGCGAUCGAUAGAGGAGGGCCCAGCCCAUUCUGAGUGGUGCUUUCCCUGGGCUGGUGAUCCUGGGUUCUAUAAGAAAGCAGGCUGAGCAAGCCAUGAGGAGAAGGCCAGCACCC
rnacentral:lncRNA from 1 species